rnacentral:rRNA from 1 species
AGAGAAUAGAUACCCGGGUAGUCCACGCUGUGACCGAUGAAUAUUAAUUAUUGGAAUUUAAUUUCUUUAAAAAUAAAGCUAAACGCGUUAAAAAUAUUCCAUCUGGGGACUAUGACCGCAAGGUUGAAACUCAAAGAAAUUGACUGAGAUUUGUACAAGCGGUGGAGCAUGUGGUUUAAAUUCGAUAUAAAUCGAUAAAUCUUACCAAUUUUUGAUAUAUAAAUUGCAAUAUGUUUUACAUAUAAUAAUAUUAAGAACAAUCUUAAUAUUAUUAAUUUAUACAGGUGUUGCAUGGCUGUCGUCAGUUCGUGUUGUGAAAUGUUUGGUUAAUUCCUUUUAACGGACGUAACCCUUAUCUUUUAUUAUUAAAUUUUAAAAGAAAGUUGCCAGUGAAACACUGUGAUGAAAGAGUGGAUGAAGUCAAGUCAGUAUGACCCUUAUAGAUUGGGCUACACACGUGCUACAAAGGUAAUUACAAAAAGAGGCAAUUAUGUGAAUAAGAGCAAAUCUUCAAAAACUUAUCUCAGUUCAGAUUAUUCUCUGGAACUCGGGAGUAUGAAGUA